rnacentral:rRNA from 1 species
CCUACGGGGGGCUGCAGUGAGGAAUCUUGCACAAUGGGGGCAACCCUGAUGGAGCAACGCCGCGUGCAGGAUGAAGGCCUUCGGGUUGUAAACUGCUUUUAUAAGUGAGGAAUAUGACGGUAACUUAUGAAUAAGGAUCGGCUAACUACGUGCCAGCAGCCGCGGUCAUACGUAGGAUCCGAGCAUUAUCCGGAGUGACUGGGCGUAAAGAGUUGCGUAGGCGGUUAGUUAAGUGAAUAGUGAAACCUGGUGGCUCAACCAUACAGACUAUUAUUCAAACUGGCUAACUCGAGAAUGGUAGAGGUAACUGGAAUUUCUCAAGUAGGGGUAAUAUCCGUAGAUAUGAGAAGGAACACCAAUGGCGUAGGCAGGUUACUGGACCAUUUCUGACGCUAAGGCACGAAAGCGUGGGGAGCGAACCGGCUUAGAUACCCCUGUAGUC